CGAACGGGUGAGUAACACGUGAGCAACCUGCCCCGAAGACCGGGAUAACAGCGGGAAACCGCUGCUAAUACCGGAUGUCCCCACCGGACCGCAUGAUUUGGUGAGGAAAUGGAUUCCGCUUCGGGAGGGGCUCGCGGGCUAUCAGCUUGUUGGUGGGGUAACGGCCUACCAAGGCGACGACGGCUAGCUGGUCUGAGAGGACGAUCAGCCACACUGGGACUGAGACACGGCCCAG
rnacentral:rRNA from 1 species